GAAGCUACUCUUACCUGGAUCGUGCCCGAGCGCCUUCGUCCUGUGCAUGCCCGGGUGCUGCAUCUCUCCCCGGGUUUACCGCCUCUCAACUCUGUCGGAAAUCCUUUAAAUAGGUGGUCGGUGACGACCGGUGCUCCUGCAAAGCUCCAAGCUGCCACAUGGUUGCCCUGUGCCCAUGGGUUUAACAUAGCAAAGCACAGCCUGCUGGUUGCCAUCCUCUCCCAUAUGGGUCAGCUUCCUGCCCCUGCUGGGCAAAGCUUACUACUUAGGAUGCCUUUCCUACGCUUCAUGCUGACCUGUGAGCAGUUUUGGCCACCUAAAUCCAAAUCGGACUUACAGUCACUAUAAUAAAGCUGGUCUGUCAUCAGUGCCAAAUUUGAAGAGGACAAACAGCCUGCCGCAUUGGUGUAUGGAGUUCGAGUUGGACGGUACCAUCAACAGCUCUCAUGGUCUAUAACUAGACUGCAUGAUACAAGAGCACUACAGUGGGCGAGAUGGAUUUGACUUGAUAAUGAAUAUGUAGGAGCACCAUUAGAGAAUCGGUGAGGGUGAGAACCGAGUGGUCGGGGCUGGACAGGCAGGAGCUGCGGCGGGACUUCAAGGGCUGUCCGCUCCACAUCUGAACGGCACGCUCUGGGGUCAU